rnacentral:tRNA from 1 species
GCCUCUGUAGCUCAGUCGGUAGAGCAGGGGCCUGAAAAUCCCCGUGUCGAUGGUUCGAUUCCGUCCGGGGGCACCA